rnacentral:rRNA from 1 species
UACGGAGAAGGCGAGCGUUGUUCGGAAUCACUGGGCUUAAAGCGCGUGUAGGCGGCCCUUCAAGUCGGGUGUGAAAUCCCUCGGCUUAACCGAGGAACUGCACCCGAUACUGUCGGGCUUGAGUCAACCAGAGGCGGAUGGAACUCCAGGUGGAGCGGUGACAUGCGUAGAUAUCUGGAGGAACGCCAGUGGCGAAAGCGGUCCGCUGGGGUUGUACUGACGCUGAGACGCGAAAGCGUGGGGAGCGAACGGGAUUAGAUACCCCCGUA